rnacentral:rRNA from 1 species
UACGGAGGGUGCGAGCGUUGUCCGGAAUCACUGGGCGUAAAGGGCGCGUAGGCGGCUUUUUAAGGGUGCGGUGAAAGCCCGGGGCUUAACCCCGGGUCGGCCGUGCCGACUGAAAAGCUGGAGCACUGUAGAGGCAGGUGGAAUUCCGGGUGUAGCGGUGGAAUGCGUAGAGAUCCGGAAGAACACCAGUGGCGAAGGCGGCCUGCUGGACAGUUGCUGACGCUGAGGUGCGAAAGCGUGGGGAGCAAACAGG